rnacentral:rRNA from 1 species
CAUGUCUUUUUGAAUAUAAUUUAAAGUCUAAUCUGCUCAAUGAGGUAUUAAAUUGCCGCGGUAUUUUGACCGUGCAAAGGUAGCAUAAUAAUUAGUUUUUUUAUUGAAAGCUGGAAUGAAUGAUUGGACGAGAAAAUAUCUGUCUCCUAUAAAAUUAAUAUUGAAUUUUAUUUUUAAGUUAAAAAGCUUGAAUUAUAUUUAGUGACGAGAAGACCCUAUAGAUUUUAAUUUGUUUUUAUUAUAAAUUUAUUUUUGGUAUUUUUUGUUUUUAUUAUGAACUUAUUUGGUUGGGGUGACUUUAAGAUUUAAUAAACUCUUAUACUUUAAAUCAUUUAUUUGUGAAUUAUGAAUCUAGAUAUUCUAAAUUUAAGAAAAAUUACCUUAGGGAUAACAGCGUAAUUUCCUUUUAGAGUUCUUAUUGAUUUGGAAGUUUGCGACCUCGAUGUUGGAUUAAAAUAAAUUUUUGGUGCAGAAGCUUAAUAAUUUGGUCUGUUCGACCUUUAAAAUUUUACAUGAUCUGAGU